UAAAAUGCGGUACGUAGCGCGAAACGCAAGUUUUGGAGCGCUGAAUCUUUGAAUGCACAUUGCGCCAUUCGGCUUUGCCGUCUGGCACGUCUGGCUCAGGGUUGACAAACUAAACAACUGCCGUUGUCUUUCUUGUCGUUCGUUCAAUUUGUGGCUCUAAUCAAUAAUUGUUCGUCCAUAUGGACUAAAGUGGUGCAACUCGUUGACUUGAGAUCGUUCUGCGUCGACUAGAUCUCUCGUCACUCUCAGCGAAAGAGAGUUCGAUUUGCCUACUUCUAUCAACCUGAGCUCAGAUGUGAUUACCCGCUGAACUUAA
rnacentral:misc_RNA from 1 species